rnacentral:rRNA from 1 species
GAAAGCAGGGGACCGCAAGGCCUUGCGCUCUUUGAGCGCACGAUGUCAGAUUAGCUAGUUGGUGAGGUAACGGCUUACCAAGGCGACGAUCUGUAGCGGGUCUGAGAGGAUGAUCCGCCACACUGGAACUGAGACACGGUCCAGACUCCUACGGGAGGCAGCAGUGGGGAAUUUUGGACAAUGGGGGCAACCCUGAUCCAGCCAUGCCGCGUGAGUGAAGAAGGCCUUCGGGUUGUAAAGCUCUUUCGGCCGGGAAGAAAUCGCAUGGGCCAAUACCCUGUGUGGAUGACGGUACCGGAAUAAGAAGCACCGGCUAACUACGUGCCAGCAGCCGCGGUAAUACGUAGGGUGCGAGCGUUAAUCGGAAUUACUGGGCGUAAAGCGUGCGCAGGCGGUUUUGUAAGACAGGCGUGAAAUCCCCGGGCUCAACCUGGGAACUGCGUUUGUGACUGCAAGGCUAGAGUACGGCAGAGGGGGGUGGAAUUCCACGUGUAGCAGUGAAAUGCGUAGAGAUGUGGAGGAACACCAAUGGCGAAGGCAGCCCCCUGGGUCGAUACUGACGCUCAUGCACGAAAGCGUGGGUAGCAAACAGGAUUAGAUACCCUGGUAGUCCACGCCCUAAACUAUGUCAACUAGGUGUUGGGUGGGUAAAACCAUUUAGUACCGUAGCUAACGCGUGAAGUUGACCGCCUGGGGAGUACGGCCGCAAGGUUAAAACUCAAAGGAAUUGGCGGGGACCCGCACAAGCGGUGGAUGAUGUGGAUUAAUUCGAUGCAACGCGAAAAACCUUACCUACCCUUGACAUGCCAGGAACUUGCCAGAGAUGGYUKGGUGCCCGAAAGGGAGCYUGGACACAGGUGCUGCAUGGCUGUCGUCAGCUCGUGUCGUGAGAUGUUGGGUUAAGUCCCGCAACGAGCGCAACCCUUGUCGUUAAUUGCCAUCAUUUAGUUGGGCACUUUAGCGAGACUGCCGGUGACAAACCGGAGRAAGGUGGGGAUGACGUCAAGUCCUCAUGGCCCUUAUGGGUAGGGCUUCACACGUCAUACAAUGGUCGGUACAAAGGGUCGCCAAGCCGCGAGGUGGAGCCAAUCCCAGAA